GGGUUAGGGUUGGGCUUGGAGCUAGGAUUUUUCUGAGUGCAAUGAACCAACUCCCGAGUCUCUAGGACGUUCCUAAAAAAAUUUGAUUUUUUCCCAUAGGAAUGCAUGGGUUAGGGUUAGGGUUAGGGUUGGGGUUAGGGUUAGGGUUAGGGUUGGAGUUAGGGUUAGUGUUGGAGCUAGGGUUAGGGUUGGGCUUGGAGCUAGGAUUUUUCUGAGUGCAAUGAACCAACUCCCGAGUCUCUAGGACGUUCCUAAAAAAAUUUGAUUUUUUCCCAUAGGAAUGCAUGGGUUAGGGUUAGGGUAAGGGUUGGAGCUAGGGUUAGGGUUAGGGUUAAGGUUGGAGUUAGGGUUAGUGUUGGAGCUAGGGUUAGGGUUGGGCUUGGAGCUAGGAUUUUUCUGAGUGCAAUGAACCAACUUCCGAGUCUCUAGGACGUUCCUAAAAAAAUUUGAUUUUUUCCCAUAGGAAUGCAUUAGUUAGGGUUGGAGCUAGGGUUAGGGUUAGGGUUAGGGUUGGAGUUAGGGUUAGUGUUGGAGCUAGGGUUAGGGUUGGGCUUGGAGCUAGGAUUUUUCUGAGUGCAAUGAACCAACUCCCGAGUCUCUAGGACGUUUCUAAAAAAAUUUGAUUUUUUCCCAUAGGAAUGCAUGGGUUAGGGUUAGGGUUAGGGUUGGAGCUAGGGUUAGGGUUAGGGUUAGGGUUGGAGUUAGGGUUAGUGUUGGAGCUAGGGUUAGGGUUGGGCUUGGAGCUAGGAUUUUUCUGAGUGCAAUGAACCAACUCCCGAGUCUCUAGGACGUUCCUAAAAAAAAAUUGAUUUCUUCCCAUAGGAAUGCAUGGGUUAGGGUUAGGGUUAGGGUUGGAGCUAGGGUUAGGGUUAGGGUUAGGGUUGGAGUUAGGGUUAGUGUUGGAGCUAGGGUUAGGGUUGGGCUUGGAGCUAGGAUUUUUCUGAGUGCAAUGAACCAACUCCCGAGUCUCUAGGACGUUCCUAAAAAAAAUUGAUUUUUUCCCAUAGGAAUGCAUGGGUUAGGGUUAGGGUUAGGGUUGGAGCUAGGGUUAGGGUUAGGGUUAGGGUUGGAGUUAGGGUUAGUGUUGGAGCUAGGGUUAGGGUUGGGCUUGGAGCUAGGAUUUUUCUGAGUGCAAUGAACCAACUCCUGAGUCUCUAGGACGUUCCUUAAAAAAAUUUGAUUUUUUCCCAUAGGAAUGCAUGGGUUAGGGUUAGGGUUAGGGUUGGAGCUAGGGUUAGGGUUAGGGUUAGGGUUGGAGUUAGGGUUAGUGUUGGAGCUAGGGUUAGGGUUGGGCUUGGAGCUAGGAUUUUUCUGAGUGCAAUGAACCAACUCCCGAGUCUCUAGGACGUUCCUAAAAAAAUUUGAUUUUUUCCCAUAGGAAUGCAAGGAUUAGGGUUAGGGUUAGGGUUGGAGCUAGGGUUAGGGUUAGGGUUGGAGUUAGGGUUAGUGUUGGAGCUAGGGUUAGGGUUGGGCUUGGAGCUAGGAUUUUUCUGAGUGCAAUGAACCAACUCCCGAGUCUCUAGGACGUUCCUUUAAAAAAUUUGAUUUUUUCCCAUAGGAAUGCAUGGGUUAGGGUUAGGGUUAGGGUUGGAGCUAGGGUUAGGGUUAGGGUUAGGGUUGGAGUUAGGGUUAGUGUUGGAGCUAGGGUUAGGGUUGGGCUUGGAGCUAGGAUUUUUCUGAGUGCAAUGAACCAACUCCCGAGUCUCUAGGACGUUUCUAAAAAAAUUUGAUUUUUUCCCAUAGGAAUGCAUGGGUUAGGGUUAGGGUUGGAGCUAGGGUUAGGGUUAGGGUUAGGGUUGGAGUUAGGGUUAGUGUUGGAGCUAGGGUUAUGGUUGGGCUUGGAGCUAGGAUUUUUCUGAGUGCAAUGAACCAACUCCCGAGUCUCUAGGACGUUCCUAAAAAAAUUUGAUUUUUUCCCAUAGGAAUGCAUGGGUUAGGGUUAGGGUUAGGGUUGGAGCUACGGUUAGGGUUAGGGUUAGGGUUGGAGUUAGGGUUAGGGUUAGGGUUGGGCUUGGAGCUAGGAUUUUUCUGAGUGCAAUGAACCAACUCCCGAGUCUCUAGGACGUUCCUUUAAAAAAUUUGAUUUUUUCCCAUAGGAAUGCAUGGGUUAGGGUUAGGGUUAGGGUUGGAGCUAGGGUUAGGGUUAGGGUUAGGGUUGGAGUUAGGGUUAGUGUUGGAGCUAGGGUUAGGGUUGGGCUUGGAGCUAGGAUUUUUCUGAGUGCAAUGAACCAACUCCCGAGUCUCUAGGACGUUCCUAAAAAAAAAUUGAUUUCUUCCCAUAGGAAUGCAUGGGUUAGGGUUAGGGUUAGGGUUGGAGCUAGGGUUAGGGUUAGGGUUAGGGUUGGAGUUAGGGUUAGUGUUGGAGCUAGGGUUAGGGUUGGGCUUGGAGCUAGGAUUUUUCUGAGUGCAAUGAACCAACUCCCGAGUCUCUAGGACGUUCCUAAAAAAAUUUGAUUUUUUCCCAUAGGAAUGCAUGGGUUAGGGUUAGGGUUAGGGUUGGAGCUAGGGUUAGGGUUAGGGUUAGGGUUGGAGUUAGGGUUAGUGUUGGAGCUAGGGUUAGGGUUGGGCUUGGAGCUAGGAUUUUUCUGAGUGCAAUGAACCAACUCCUGAGUCUCUAGGACGUUCCUUAAAAAAAUUUGAUUUUUUCCCAUAGGAAUGCAUGGGUUAGGGUUAGGGUUAGGGUUGGAGCUAGGGUUAGGGUUAGGGUUAGGGUUGGAGUUAGGGUUAGUGUUGGAGCUAGGGUUAGGGUUGGGCUUGGAGCUAGGAUUUUUCUGAGUGCAAUGAACCAACUCCCGAGUCUCUAGGACGUUCCUAAAAAAAUUUGAUUUUUUCCCAUAGGAAUGCAUGGGUUAGGGUUAGGGUUAGGGUUGGAGCUAGGGUUAGGGUUAGGGUUGGAGUUAGGGUUAGUGUUGGAGCUAGGGUUAGGGUUGGGCUUGGAGCUAGGAUUUUUCUGAGUGCAAUGAACCAACUCCCGAGUCUCUAGGACGUUCCUAAAAAAAUUUGAUUUUUUCCCAUAGGAAUGCAUGGGUUAGGGUUAGGGUUAGGGUUGGAGCUAGGGUUAGGGUUAGGGUUAGGGUUGAGGUUAGGGUUAGUGUUGGAGCUAGGGUUAGGGUUGGGCUUGGAGCUAGGAUUUUUCUGAGUGCAAUAAACCAACUCCCGAGUCUCUAGGACGUUCCUAAAAAAAAUUGAUUUUUUCCCAUAGGAAUGCAUGGGUUAGGGUUAGGGUUAGGGUUGGAGCUAGGGUUAGGGUUAGGGUUAGGGUUGGAGUUAGGGUUAGGGUUAGGGUUAGGGUUAGGGUUGGGCUUGGAGCUAGGAUUUUUCUGAGUGCAAUGAACCAACUCCCGAGUCUCUAGGACGUUCCUAAAAAAAAAUUGAUUUCUUCCCAUAGGAAUGCAUGGGUUAGGGUUAGGGUUAGGGUUGGAGCUAGGGUUAGGGUUAGGGUUAGGGUUGGAGUUAGGGUUAGUGUUGGAGCUAGGGUUAGGGUUGGGCUUGGAGCUAGGAUUUUUCUGAGUGCAAUGAACCAACUCCCGAGUCUCUAGGACGUUCCUAAAAAAAUUUGAUUUUUUCCCAUAGGAAUGCAUGGGUUAGGGUUAGGGUUAGGGUUGGAGCUAGGGUUAGGGUUAGGGUUGGAGUUAGGGUUAGUGUUGGAGCUAGGGUUAGGGUUGGGCUUGGAGCUAGGAUUUUUCUGAGUGCAAUGAACCAACUCCCGAGUCUCUAGGACGUUCCUAAAAAAAUUUGAUUUUUUUCCCAUAGGAAUGCAUGGGUUAGGGUUAGGGUUAGGGUUGGAGCUAGGGUUAGGGUUAGGGUUAGGGUUGGAGUUAGGGUUAGUGUUGGAGCUAGGGUUAGGGUUGGGCUUGGAGCUAGGAUUUUUCUGAGUGCAAUGAACCAACUCCCGAGUCUCUAGGACGUUCCUUAAAAAAUUUUUAUUUUUUCCCAUAGGAAUGCAUGGGUUAGGGUUAGGGUUAGGGUUGGAGCUAGGGUUAGGGUUAGGGUUAGGGUUAGGGUUAAGGUUGGAGUUAGGGUUAGUGUUGGAGCUAGGGUUAGGGUUGGGCUUGGAGCUAGGAUUUUUCUGAGUGCAAUGAACCAACUCCUGAGUCUCUAGGACGUUCCUGAAAAAAAAUGAUUUUUUCCCAUAGGAAUGCAUGGGUUAGGGUUAGGGUUAGGGUUGGAGCUAGGGUUAGGGUUAGGGUUAGGGUUGGAGUUAGGGUUAGUGUUGGAGCUAGGGUUAGGGUUGGGCUUGGAGCUAGGAUUUUUCUGAGUGCAAUGAACCAACUCCCGAGUCUCUAGGACGUUCCUUUAAAAAUUUGAUUUUUUCCCAUAGGAAUGCAUGGGUUAGGGUUAGGGUUAGGGUUGGAGCUAGGGUUAGGGUUAGGGUUGGAGUUAGGGUUAGUGUUGGAGCUAGGGAUAGGGUUGGGCUUGGAGCUAGGAUUUUUCUGAGUGCAAUGAACCAACUCCCGAGUCUCUAGGACGUUCCUAAAAAAAUUGAUUUUUUUCCCAUAGGAAUGCAUGGGUUAGGGUUAGGGUUAGGGUUGGAGCUAGGGUUAGGGUUAGGGUUAGGGUUGGAGUUAGGGUUAGGGUUAGGGUUGGGCUUGGAGCUAGGAUUUUUCUGAGUGCAAUGAACCAACUCCCGAGUCUCUAGGAUGUUCCUUUAAAAUAUUAGAUUUUUUCCCAUAGGAAUGCAUGGGUUAGGGUUAGGGUUAGGGUUGGAGCUAGGGUUAGGGUUAGGGUUAGGGUUGGAGUUAGGGUUAGUGUUGGAGCUAGGGUUAGGGUUGGGCUUGGAGCUAGGAUUUUUCUGAGUGCAAUGAACCAACUCCUGAGUCUCUAGGACGUUCCUUAAAAAAAUUUGAUUUUUUCCCAUAGGAAUGCAUGGGUUAGGGUUAGGGUUAGGGUUGGAGCUAGGGUUAGGGUUAGGGUUAGGGUUGGAGUUAGGGUUAGUGUUGGAGCUAGGGUUAGGGUUGGGCUUGGAGCUAGGAUUUUUCUGAGUGCAAUGAACCAACUCCCGAGUCUCUAGGACGUUCCUAAAAAAAUUUGAUUUUUUCCCAUAGGAAUGCAUGGGUUAGGGUUAGGGUUAGGGUUGGAGCUAGGGUUAGGGUUAGGGUUGGAGUUAGGGUUAGUGUUGGAGCUAGGGUUAGGGUUGGGCUUGGAGCUAGGAUUUUUCUGAGUGCAAUGAACCAACUCCCGAGUCUCUAGGACGUUCCUAAAAAAAUUUGAUUUUUUCCCAUAGGAAUGCAUGGGUUAGGGUUAGGGUUAGGGUUGGAGCUAGGGUUAGGGUUAGGGUUAGGGUUGGAGUUAGGGUUAGUGUUGGAGCUAGGGUUAGGGUUGGGCUUGGAGCUAGGAUUUUUCUGAGUGCAAUGAACCAACUCCCGAGUCUCUAGGACGUUUCUAAAAAAAUUUGAUUUUUUCCCAUAGGAAUGCAUGGGUUAGGGUUAGGGUUAGGGUUGGAGCUAGGGUUAGGGUUAGGGUUAGGGUUGGAGUUAGGGUUAGUGUUGGAGCUAGGGUUAGGGUUGGGCUUGGAGCUAGGAUUUUUCUGAGUGCAAUGAACCAACUCCCGAGUCUCUAGGACGUUCCUAAAAAAAAAUUGAUUUCUUCCCAUAGGAAUGCAUGGGUUAGGGUUAGGGUUAGGGUUGGAGCUAGGGUUAGGGUUAGGGUUAGGGUUGGAGUUAGGGUUAGUGUUGGAGCUAGGGUUAGGGUUGGGCUUGGAGCUAGGAUUUUUCUGAGUGCAAUGAACCAACUCCCGAGUCUCUAGGACGUUCCUAAAAAAAAUUUGAUUUUUUCCCAUAGGAAUGCAUGGGUUAGGGUUAGGGUUAGGGUUGGAGCUAGGGUUAGGGUUAGGGUUAGGGUUGGAGUUAGGGUUAGGGUUAGGGUUGGGCUUGGAGCUAGGAUUUUUCUGAGUGCAAUGAACCAACUCCCGAGUCUCUAGGAUGUCCCUUUAAAAAAUUUGAUUUUUUUCCCAUAGGAAUGCAUGGGUUAGGGUUAGGGUUAGGGUUGGAGCUAGGGUUAGGGUUAGGGUUAGGGUUGGAGUUAGGGUUAGUGUUGGAGCUAGGGUUAGGGUUGGGCUUGGAGCUAGGAUUUUUCUGAGUGCAAUGAACCAACUCCCGAGUCUCUAGGACGUUCCUAAAAAAAAAUUGAUUUCUUCCCAUAGGAAUGCAUGGGUUAGGGUUAGGGUUAGGGUUGGAGCUAGGGUUAGGGUUAGGGUUAGGGUUGGAGUUAGGGUUAGUGUUGGAGCUAGGGUUAGGGUUGGGCUUGGAGCUAGGAUUUUUCUGAGUGCAAUGAACCAACUCCCGAGUCUCUAGGACGUUCCUAAAAAAAUUUGAUUUUUUCCCAUAGGAAUGCAUGGGUUAGGGUUAGGGUUAGGGUUGGAGCUAGGGUUAGGGUUAGGGUUAGGGUUGGAGUUAGGGUUAGUGUUGGAGCUAGGGUUAGGGUUGGGCUUGGAGCUAGGAUUUUUCUGAGUGCAAUGAACCAACUCCUGAGUCUCUAGGACGUUCCUUAAAAAAAUUUGAUUUUUUCCCAUAGGAAUGCAUGGGUUAGGGUUAGGGUUAGGGUUGGAGCUAGGGUUAGGGUUAGGGUUAGGGUUGGAGUUAGGGUUAGUGUUGGAGCUAGGGUUAGGGUUGGGCUUGGAGAUAGGAUUUUUCUGAGUGCAAUGAACCAACUCCCGAGUCUCUAGGACGUUCCUAAAAAAAUUUGAUUUUUUCCCAUAGGAAUGCAUGGGUUAGGGUUAGGGUUAGGGUUGGAGCUAGGGUUAGGGUUAGGGUUGGAGUUAGGGUUAGUGUUGGAGCUAGGGUUAGGGUUGGGCUUGGAGCUAGGAUUUUUCUGAGUGCAAUGAACCAACUCCCGAGUCUCUAGGACGUUCCUAAAAAAAUUUGAUUUUUUCCCAUAGGAAUGCAUGGGUUAGGGUUAGGGUUAGGGUUGGAGCUAGGGUUAGGGUUAGGGUUAGGGUUGGAGUUAGGGUUAGUGUUGGAGCUAGGGUUAGGGUUGGGCUUGGAGCUAGGAUUUUUCUGAGUGCAAUGAACCAACUCCCGAGUCUCUAGGACGUUCCUAAAAAAAAUUGAUUUUUUCCCAUAGGAAUGCAUGGGUUAGGGUUAGGGUUAGGGUUGGAGCUAGGGUUAGGGUUAGGGUUAGGGUUGGAGUUAGGGUUAGGGUUAGGGUUAGGGUUAGGGUUAGGGUUGGGCUUGGAGCUAGGAUUUUUCUGAGUGCAAUGAACCAACUCCCGAGUCUCUAGGACGUUCCUUAAAAAAAAAUUGAUUUCUUCCCAUAGGAAUGCAUGGGUUAGGGUUAGGGUUAGGGUUGGAGCUAGGGUUAGGGUUAGGGUUAGGGUUGGAGUUAGGGUUAGUGUUGGAGCUAGGGUUAGGGUUGGGCUUGGAGCUAGGAUUUUUCUGAGUGCAAUGAACCAACUCCCGAGUCUCUAGGACGUUCCUAAAAAAAUUUGAUUUUUUCCCAUAGGAAUGCAUGGGUUAGGGUUAGGGUUAGGGUUGGAGCUAGGGUUAGGGUUAGGGUUGGAGUUAGGGUUAGUGUUGGAGCUAGGGUUAGGGUUGGGCUUGGAGCUAGGAUUUUUCUGAGUGCAAUGAACCAACUCCCGAGUCUCUAGGACGUUCCUAAAAAAAUUUGAUUUUUUCCCAUAGGAAUGCAUGGGUUAGGGUUAGGGUUAGGGUUGGAGCUAGGGUUAGGGUUAGGGUUAGGGUUGGAGUUAGGGUUAGUGUUGGAGCUAGGGUUAGGGUUGGGCUUGGAGCUAGGAUUUUUCUGAGUGCAAUGAACCAACUCCCGAGUCUCUAGGACGUUCCUUAAAAAAUUUUUAUUUUUUCCCAUAGGAAUGCAUGGGUUAGGGUUAGGGUUAGGGUUGGAGCUAGGGUUAGGGUUAGGGUUAGGGUUAGGGUUAAGGUUGGAGUUAGGGUUAGUGUUGGAGCUAGGGUUAGGGUUGGGCUUGGAGCUAGGAUUUUUCUGAGUGCAAUGAACCAACUCCUGAGUCUCUAGGACGUUCCUGAAAAAAAAUGAUUUUUUCCCAUAGGAAUGCAUGGGUUAGGGUUAGGGUUAGGGUUGGAGCUAGGGUUAGGGUUAGGGUUAGGGUUGGAGUUAGGGUUAGUGUUGGAGCUAGGGUUAGGGUUGGGCUUGGAGCUAGGAUUUUUCUGAGUGCAAUGAACCAACUCCCGAGUCUCUAGGACGUUCCUUUAAAAAAUUUGAUUUUUUCCCAUAGGAAUGCAUGGGUUAGGGUUAGGGUUAGGGUUGGAGCUAGGGUUAGGGUUAGGGUUGGAGUUAGGGUUAGUGUUGGAGCUAGGGCUAGGGUUGGGCUUGGAGCUAGGAUUUUUCUGAGUGCAAUGAACCAACUCCCGAGUCUCUAGGACGUUCCUAAAAAAAUUGAUUUUUUUCCCAUAGGAAUGCAUGGGUUAGGGUUAGGGUUAGGGUUGGAGCUAGGGUUAGGGUUAGGGUUAGGGUUGGAGUUAGGGUUAGGGUUAGGGUUGGGCUUGGAGCUAGGAUUUUUCUGAGUGCAAUGAACCAACUCCCGAGUCUCUAGGAUGUUCCUUUAAAAUAUUAGAUUUUUUCCCAUAGGAAUGCAUGGGUUAGGGUUAGGGUUAGGGUUGGAGCUAGGGUUAGGGUUAGGGUUAGGGUUGGAGUUAGGGUUAGUGUUGGAGCUAGGGUUAGGGUUGGGCUUGGAGCUAGGAUUUUUCUGAGUGCAAUGAACCAACUCCUGAGUCUCUAGGACGUUCCUUAAAAAAAUUUGAUUUUUUCCCAUAGGAAUGCAUGGGUUAGGGUUAGGGUUAGGGUUGGAGCUAGGGUUAGGGUUAGGGUUAGGGUUGGAGUUAGGGUUAGUGUUGGAGCUAGGGUUAGGGUUGGGCUUGGAGCUAGGAUUUUUCUGAGUGCAAUGAACCAACUCCCGAGUCUCUAGGACGUUCCUAAAAAAAUUUGAUUUUUUCCCAUAGGAAUGCAUGGGUUAGGGUUAGGGUUAGGGUUGGAGCUAGGGUUAGGGUUAGGGUUAGGGUUGGAGUUAGGGUUAGUGUUGGAGCUAGGGUUAGGGUUGGGCUUGGAGCUAGGAUUUUUCUGAGUGCAAUGAACCAACUCCCGAGUCUCUAGGACGUUCCUAAAAAAAAAUGAUUUUUUUCCCAUAGGAAUGCAUGGGUUAGGGUUAGGGUUAGGGUUGGAGCUAGGGUUAGGGUUAGGGUUAGGGUUGGAGUUAGGGUUAGGGUUAGGGUUAGGGUUAGGGUUGGGCUUGGAGCUAGGAUUUUUCUGAGUGCAAUGAACCAACUCCCGAGUCUCUAGGACGUUCCUUAAAAAAAUUUGAUUUUUUCCCAUAGGAAUGCAUGGGUUAGGGUUAGGGUUAGGGUUGGAGCUAGGGUUAGGGUUAGGGUUAGGGUUGGAGUUAGGGUUAGUGUUGGAGCUAGGGUUAGGGUUGGGCUUGGAGUUAGGAUUUUUCUGAGUGCAAUGAACCAACUCCCGAGUCUCUAGGACGUUCCUAAAAAAAUUUGAUUUUUUCCCAUAGGAAUGCAUGGGUUAGGGUUAGGGUUAGGGUUGGAGCUAGGGUUAGGGUUAGGGUUAGGGUUGGAGUUAGGGUUAGUGUUGGAGCUAGGGUUAGGGUUGGGCUUGGAGCUAGGAUUUUUCUGAGUGCAAUGAACCAACUCCCGAGUCUCUAGGACGUUCCUUAAAAAAAUUUGAUUUUUUCCCAUAGGAAUGCAUGGGUUAGGGUUAGGGUUAGGGUUGGAGCUAGGGUUAGGGUUAGGGUUAGGGUUAGGGUUAAGGUUGGAGCUAGGGUUAGUGUUGGAGUUAGGGUUAGGGUUGGGCUUGGAGCUAGGAUUUUUCUGAGUGCAAUGAACCAACUCCCGAGUCUCUAGGACGUUCCUAAAAAAAUUUGAUUUUUUCCCAUAGGAAUGCAUGGGUUAGGGUUAGGGUUAGGGUUGGAGCUAGGGUUAGGGUUAGGGUUGGAGUUAGGGUUAGUGUUGGAGCUAGGGUUAGGGUUGGGCUUGGAGCUAGGAUUUUUCUGAGUGCAAUGAACCAACUCCCGAGUCUCUAGGACGUUCCUAAAAAAAAAUGAUUUUUUUCCCAUAGGAAUGCAUGGGUUAGGGUUAGGGUUAGGGUUGGAGCUAGGGUUAGGGUUAGGGUUAGGGUUGGAGUUAGGGUUAGGGUUAGGGUUAGGGUUAGGGUUGGGCUUGGAGCUAGGAUUUUUCUGAGUGCAAUGAACCAACUCCCGAGUCUCUAGGACGUUCCUUAAAAAAAUUUGAUUUUUUCCCAUAGGAAUGCAUGGGUUAGGGUUAGGGUUAGGGUUGGAGCUAGGGUUAGGGUUAGGGUUAGGGUUGGAGUUAGGGUUAGUGUUGGAGCUAGGGUUAGGGUUGGGCUUGGAGUUAGGAUUUUUCUGAGUGCAAUGAACCAACUCCCGAGUCUCUAGGACGUUCCUAAAAAAAUUUGAUUUUUUCCCAUAGGAAUGCAUGGGUUAGGGUUAGGGUUAGGGUUGGAGCUAGGGUUAGGGUUAGGGUUAGGGUUGGAGUUAGGGUUAGUGUUGGAGCUAGGGUUAGGGUUGGGCUUGGAGCUAGGAUUUUUCUGAGUGCAAUGAACCAACUCCCGAGUCUCUAGGACGUUCCUUAAAAAAUUUGAUUUUUUCCCAUAGGAAUGCAUGGGUUAGGGUUAGGGUUAGGGUUGGAGCUAGGGUUAGGGUUAGGGUUAGGGUUAGGGUUAAGGUUGGAGCUAGGGUUAGUGUUGGAGUUAGGGUUAGGGUUGGGCUUGGAGCUAGGAUUUUUCUGAGUGCAAUGAACCAACUCCUGAGUCUCUAGGACGUUCCUAAAAAAAAUUGAUUUUUUCCCAUAGGAAUGCAUGGGUUAGGGUUAGGGUUAGGGUUGGAGCUAGGGUUAGGGUUAGGGUUAGGGUUGGAGUUACGGUUAGUGUUGGAGCUAGGGUUAGGGUUGGGUUAGGGUUGGAGUUAGGGUUAGGGUUAGGGUUAGGGUUAGGGUUGGGCUUGGAGCUAGGAUUUUUCUGAGUGCAAUGAACCAACUCCUGAGUCUCUAGGACGUUCCUAAAAAAAAUUGAUUUUUUCCCAUAGGAAUGCAUGGGUUAGGGUUAGGGUUAGGGUUGGAGCUAGGGUUAGGGUUAGGGUUAGGGUUGGAGUUAGGGUUAGUGUUGGAGCUAGGGUUAGGGUUGGGCUUGGAGCUAGGAUUUUUCUGAGUGCAAUGAACCAACUCCCGAGUCUCUAGGACGUUCCUAAAAAAAUUUGAUUUUUUUCCCAUAGGAAUGCAUGGGUUAGGGUUAGGGUUAGGGUUGGAGCUAGGGUUAGGGUAAGGGUUAAGGUUGGAGCUAGGGUUAGGGUUAGGGUUAGGGUUAGGGUUGGAGCUAGGGUUAGGGUUAGGGUAAGAGCUAGGGUUAGGGUUAGUGUUGGGGCUAGGGUUAGGGUUAGGGUUAAACUCAUUUUUUUCAGCUUUGUUGACAUUAAGCUUAAGCUAAUCAAGAAUCAGCUGUGAUUGUAUACAGAUGUAUGUUCACAUAGAUAACUAAUCCUCAUGUAUGACUGUGGAUGGCUUCCAGGAUUGCAUUAUGCGUCACAAACAGACUCCUUACUGCGUUCAGCCAAUACCCACUGCAACACUAAAGUGAAUGGAACCUUUCAUAGAAUAAAAAGACAAAACAACCCCUCUGAUACCAAAGCCCCAUCACACAUAAAGAUUUCAUGAACCGUAUUGUUUGUCUGCUAACACACUGAGCACUCUAAAAAAUGUAUAGAAAACACACUUACGACAGAGCCACACAUGUGCAUUGUCAUUGGCGUGCUGACAGUACGGUUUAGCCAGUGGUGGAGAGUAAAACCAGCACACGUGUGUUCAUCAAUUCACAGAUUUAUUCAGAUUCAUCCAAUUAUAAGAAUAUUGAGUGUAUUUCAAUCUCUCCAUUUUUCCAAGUCUGUCCAGUAUAAACUCUGCUCCUCUUAAAUGCUUUAUUGACAAUUGUUUACCCAGUCAGCUCCACAGAUGGAUAGCAAUAUGUAUGAUCUUCUGACUCAUAUGCAUGAAAAUAGUACAUUUUGAGAUAUUUUAUAUUCUAUGAUUUUUUUUCUUCUAACUCACCAUCAGAGUUUGUGCAAAUGGUAUGGGUAAAUUUCUCGUCUUAAGAAUAUCAUAUUCCCCCGAACACUCUGUAACUUUGCAGCAACACUCAGUGGACACAAAAUGAUGUCUGGGGGAACAUCAUGAGUUGGUGCCAUUUGGCCUGUGGGGUUUGUAAUGGAACAUCAAGCACAGCACAAAGCGGAGUUCAUAGCACAGAUUUCCUUGCAUUUAUGAGUGCUAUUUCAGUCUCACACUCAUCUGUCAGCCCUAACUGGGGACAAGCAUGUACCUCUCAACAAAUCAACUUGAAUUUAAUAUUUGGUGCAUGCCAAACAGGACUGCCCUAAAUGAGCAUGGUGGUAAUUGUGAUUAUCCAUGAGACAUUUUAUUUUAUGGUAGUCUGUUGUCCAGUUAAUGUCAUGGCAAAUUACACCUGAAGUUAAUUAAUCUGGGGUGUCUCAAGUAUUUCAUACAAUCUUGUCAGGCUGUGAGGAGACUCUCAGUUUACAUGACAAGACAAAACACAAGACUGGGUUCACAAGAACGGCACAAGGCGAGAGUUUGAAACUACUUUUAUGAAAACAUCAACGAUGAAAUAACCCAAUCAAGUUAAAUAUAUGAACAAUAUGUACUUUCAUCAAACAAAAAUAUUAGCAUACAUCUGAUUCAUCUAGUAUGAAUCAAAGUAGUGUUCAGAUUCAGACGUACCGCCCACCAUGUGCCCCAGAGAAGCAUUUUAAUCACCUUGGCAAUCUCAGCCCCAGAGAAAAAAGAGCCCACAUCCGCGUUCCCCCGGCCCUACUUCCUCACUCGAAGGCAUGUUGGUGAGAUCUAAGUAUUCGAACUAUUCAAAGUAUUCUUUUCACCCAUCAACAACAUCUCAAUUCGGUUCCCACCAUACACAGUGUUGACAGUGUGCUGCUUCCCCCUCCUGAGAUGCCAAAUGGUGGUCCACAACUUUCUUAAAGCUGCCCAAAAGUCGCUCUCCAUGGCCUCACCCAACUCCCCCUACACCUGUGUUUUUGCCUCAGUGACCACCGAGGCUGUAUUCCACUUGGCCGUCUGGUACCUGUUGGCUGCCUCCAGAGUCCCACAGGCCAGAAAGGCCUGAUAGGACUCUUUCUUCAGCUUCAGGGUAUCCUUGAGGCACCCUCCUUAGUAGUUAUGAACUGACUUUGAUACACCACCACAAGCAGGUUUACUGCAAUAGGUACAGAUAGAAAUGACAAAUCCACUCAGAAGACAGUGUGCUGAUCUCAGGAGACAGCUUAUUACCUCAACAAGAAAUAUUGUCAUGCUUUGGAAUCCUGAAAUCUUGUGGCAACAGAUCUAGUCACACCCAACAAUCUCAGUGUUAUCUUGAUUCUCUUUCAUAGCACAUCUCUCUACAGGGUAUCAAAUAACAUCCAUACAACACAUACAAACCACAACAAUUUGAUACGACAUCACACACAUCCACAGUCACACAUAUAUAGCACAUUCUUACAGAACAUUUAGUGGUGUGUUUUUCCAUAGUAUACAGUAUACUGUACGUUCCAGAGCAGGGAGCUAUUUUUGAAUUGUAACAUACAAUUAAACGUAAUGAUAUCUUCAUAUGUUGCAGUAAUAUAUGCAAAUUAUCACACUUACUCUCCAAGGCAAGACAAACACUUGUGCUGCUCACCUUCUUUUCUCUCUCCUCUUACCUUUUAGCUUCUCAUUCAAAGUAAAUCUGUUUUUGGCACACAGCCCGUCCUUCAACUACUGGAUUACCUGCCAGCACCCGCUGCCAAACAUAUACAAGCUUUUAACACUGUGAUUCAAUUGGCUUGUUUCCAUUCCCAUAAAAUACACACAUUCAAACCAAACAGACACCCACACUCAACAGCUGUGUUCAGAUUUGUGUAAAAUCAGCCCUUAAGCUUUAUACCACAUGUGAGCCAACAGCUGAAGUUUCUCUACCUCAUUCAGCUGUAUUAGGUGAGUCUAUGAUUAAGCCAUUUUAAUGAAAUAGAACUAAAGACAGCAAGCCAACAAGAAGAGAUCUGUUAUUCCAUUAAAGCAAUGAAUCUGCAUUUGAAUAUAAGUGACACAUUGAAAUGUUUCUGAAGUGAAAAGUUAAGGUUUAAAUCAAAGGUUAUAUUACUUGGUUCCCUCAUUUACACUGGUUUCGGAUUGAUGUGCAGUUUAAUCAGAUGGCAUUAUCUCAAAUUACAUUAAAUAAAUUAUCUCACUUUCUUGAUGCAAAUAUAAUAAAAUGCAAUAUAAUGACCCAUCUGCAGUUCAAUCUCUGUUGACAUUAGAAUAAACAGACUAAAUGAACACAGAGAUCCAAAUGUAUAUAUGCACACCUCGUACAAACAUGAUCACGCUUUACUUAAUUACUAAAAGUUAUGCAUUUUUAUCAACUCGGAUGAACUAUUUCCAGGUGUUAUCUCCUAAUUGUGCAACCUAAUCAGAUUGAUUGAUCAGAUCUCAACGAUCUUCAGUGCAUCCUGGGAGUGAUUGCAUCUUAAUUUAGGGCUUUCCACUGGUGAUCUGAUAAACAAGAGCUGUAUUGAUGCUACAUUGAUGGUAGAUGAAUUCCCAAUGCCAGGCUGUUUUUAAUCUGCAUGUAUAGUAUUUUUUGCUGGCCUUAGAACUUGUAAAGACAAAGAUUCAUAGAUUUGAUCUUAAACAACAGACUUACUUGGACCAGUGUUCUUGAAUUUAUGAAUGCCAUAUCUUCAUAAAGUGCAGGCUGCCAUAAAAUGCACAAGAAUGCUCCGGAGUGAUUUUAGAUUUUGUUAUUGGUUAAGUACAAUUCCCAGAUUAGAAAAUUUGGUUAAUUUCCCAAACUUUAUGUGGGUUUCAAGAGCCAGUUUCCUCCUAAAACAGGUUAUAGAAAGAGGCCCUUGGUGAUCAUUUAAAUAUAAGUGUCAAGUCUAAUUAGGAUUCCCUUGGAUUAGUUUAAUAUAAUUGCAUUUAGAUCUAUUUGCUCAACGCGGUCUCCUAAUGGAAAUUUUGCUCUUUUGCUGCAAAUACUCUACAAUGUACAGAUGCUAACUUUAGUGUCUGCCAUUUGACGUUUGGAAGGUAUCUUUUAGUCACUUUAUUAGAGGUUUGCACUGAGAGUAGCAUGUUGCAGCAGCUAUAAACAAGAUUAAUGAAAGUGGUAACACUGAACAAAAAAGAAAUGAAGUUGCAGAUAGUGAAAGUGAAACAGAGCUGAAAAGGGAUUAUUAGCAAGUGGAACUGCAGUCAAGUGAUGUCUUUAUAUUAAUGCAAAUUACACCUUUUUUUCCCCUUUUUUUUUAAAGAAAUCUUAAGUAUAGUGCAGGCUUAACAAGGUUUACUUUUUUCAUUACAGUUUACUUUAACAAAUUAGGCAAUGACGCAUCCCCCCUUUUAGUUUUGCACUCCUUGUUACAAGGAGAAAUGUGCAGCAGUAAACCACGGAGUCCUUCAUUAAAAUGUAUUGUCAGAGGACUUUAUAUGCCAGUGUUGUCUUCUUUGCACAAGCAUCAGUUGAACAAGGUGCAGCUGGAAAAUGCAUGUUCUUUCAUCUGUGCUGACAUGCUGCUAUUCACUUUUUAUGCAGCAGAAUUUCAUUUCUCCCUAAAAAAGUUGCUCCACUUUGCCAUCUGUCAGCAUAUUCUGCAGGUGAAAGUCAGAUUAAAGGGAGAAAUGUAUGGAGACUUCAUGUCAGAGCAGCCUGAUCCCGCCGGUGUGAGACAAAGCGCAGUAAUAAGCACAGAGGUCAGCAUUUCCUAUUUCUGUGAUUCGUAACACACAAAAACAAUGGACCUGCACACACACACACACACACACACACACACGCACACACGCACACACACGGGCACAGGCUAAAUGGCAAGCAUUUCUGUUCCUUCAGCCUUUUUUUAAAACAAGAUUUUUUUCCUCUCCUCUGUUAUCCACAAGUUUGGAAAUGAUGCUACCAUCAGCAUGGGUGUCUUUUUUUUUUCAUUUUCAGCUGUGAUUGACAGUGUAUCAAGUGAGGCUGCCAGGUAGAGUGAAAUAAUAGGGGAGACAAUGGACAUGGCUCUCUUACACAAACAGGUCUUGUUUUGUUUUUGUUGCCAGAUAUUGGAGAGAAUGUGAGGACUGAAGAGAGAGAGGGAGAGAUAAACCAGAAAGCAGACAUCAGUUAUGUCAGAGGAAAGAUCCCGUCUGACCUGCUUGGGUGCACAUGAGGAUGUUCCAGAAUCCAAAUGCUGCACCAAGAAAACCAACAAUAAUGCAUUCGACUCAAACACAGGAUGCUUUCUUUUCCAAUUGAUUCUUACUUACUUGACACCAUCAUAUGCACUAAAGUUAACUUAAAGUAAUUUGCACUUAUUUCUAAUAUUCAUGGUCACAAAAUCCUCACAAAAACACAGAGGACAGGCUUUUACUUCCACUUUGAUUUCCUUGUUAGGCUGUCCAAAAUCUGCAGAAUGUAUUUUGGGAUUUAAUCGACUUUUUUAGGCUCUGAAAAACUGAUGCUAAUAAAUAAACAUAAGCUCUGUAGCAGUGAUCCAGAGGGACCUACGGAGUGAUGGAGCUUAGAGACUCACAGAAAAGACUGAUUGCAGACCAGAGUCCACUGUUGUACUGAACACCAGGUUGUUAUUGACUCUCUUUAAUGUUUAGAAGUGAAAUAAAAAUAAAUAAAUAAACCCAGAUACAAUACAAUAUAAUACAACAAUCUAUUAUGCGCAGAUUGUUUACAUGAGCAGAAAACACUGUUAGCUGUUAAAACAGGAGACUGUGCUGUAAAAUCUCUUAGUUCAGUACAGUUAGACAAAGUUGAGUGCUUCAGUCAAAGUCUUUCAAAAUCAGUCAAAUCACGUGGCAGUCGGCCCCAUCUGCCAAAAACAACGGCAUCAUACCUGGCGUCCUGUUUCUGCUUGCAUUCUCAAUUAAGAGUCAUACUGGCCAGUCUCCACUUAGGCUUAUACACUAACUAGUGACAUGUAACCCAUAUAACCUCACUUCAGAAACAGUGAAAUAUUCCUUUAAAUGCAUUGAAGGGCAAGGUCUUCAUUCCUUAAUUAACUCCUUCUUGUUUAUUUAUUCAGUUCGUCACUUGUUCAGCGUUCCCCAUUUUGGAUCAGAGUGGAAUUGAGAGGAUCAUUGUCUUAGGUUUCAUUUUAUGCUCAACUAUCAUGAGGAAAGGGCUACAACAACAGAAACACUGACCAUCAAUCACCAAAAGCUCAGGGAGCUGGAGUGACAAGAAGGACUCACUUUUUAUGAUGGAGGAAGGCAGAGUCAGGGGCUAAAUCCAAAUCGAGAAGCUCCACUGCACAUGCAGACUCAUGAACGUGACAAAGAGGGAUGAGUGGUGCAUUUCAACGGCCUUUGCAGGUAAUACGUCACACAUUUCUCAGCACAAUACGUCCAUAACAGUGUGACAGAGUUGUACUGUACAGAAGAAGUUCAGUACAUUUAAUAAGUGCUGUUUAGAAUAGUCGAGAAAAAUAACUGAGAGGGAGCUCAUUGGAAAUUGUAUGAUUUUGUGUCAACUGACCCUCACAGACAUUACAUAUUAAAGCACGAGUGGAAGACUUUUUGUGGUCAGGACAAUAAACUGUUUAUUAAGACGGACACAAUAAUUGCUCAUUUACUGAGGAGCCAAAUGGCAAAGAGUUGAUGCUUUGGCACCACUAGUGCAGCCAAGGCAGUCUUCUUCACACAGCAGUUAGAAAUGAAGGUAUGUGGUCCAUUCUAUAUUCAGUUAGUGGUCAGGACACUAGUCUGGGGGAUGCACACUUAGACAACGCUCACAUUUGGAUGCUUGGUUAAACAGCAGGCGCCUGAACAGUAACUACAACAGCAAGUAGCAAAUAUAUAUUUAUAUACAUAUAAAUAUAAUGUAGUUUCAAAGACCAUUUUCUCGACUAUAGAGAAUAGCUUCAAUAGCCCAUAUUGACCCACUACUUCCCCUGAAGACUGCUUUUACUUAGUUAAGCCACCAAGUGUAGUAACCUCCCUGUGUGAGACACAGUGACAUGCCUGGAUCUGAUAAAGAGCUAUGGUAGUUACUAAUUUAGAUAAACAACUGUUCAGGAGGUGACUUUAAAAUAAAAGUGUUGCGUGUAACAAGGAAAAAAACAUCAGAAAAAAAGAGCCUCUGCUUUAAAAAUCAAACAGGGAAUAAUUCCAUACUAUAUCUCUCAUUCAUGGAACAUAAAAAUAACUGAUACAGGGCCAUUCCAGCUCUUGGCUUUUCAUUUCUCUUUGUAUUUUGGCUGAAAUCCAUGUGUGGCUUGCAAAAAAUAAAAAAAAAAUAAAAAUACACUGAUUCUUCUUUUCUCAAGAUUGUGGUGUGUGAGAUGGACUUGAGGUGCGUGAAAUGUGCUGCUUAUGCGGGCGGUCUAAUCUCUUGACAUGCAUGCCAAAAUGAAAAUCAAGCCAUUCUGAAGCCAUAAGGCAGCCAAGAGAUUUUCCUGUAUGAAGUGCCUAAGAGCACAGUUGGCUGUGGCAAAUGCAGCAAAAAAAUCAAAACAUACCAAACCAGACUGCCUGUUGGAAAUGCACCAUCCUUGUCUUAUUCUCUGUUUGUGCAUCAGUAUGCAUUUACACCACAAUUCAUAUUGUUACUUCAUGUUUCCGUGCUUCCUGGUCUUGCUGGUUUCUGUGGAUCUUUGAUGAGGUCCGCUGCCAUGUGGAGGUUUUACUCCACUGAUCUAUGCAAGACAAUUUAUGCAUUCCACACCUUCGUACACUGUGGGCUGUGUCUGCUUGCGUAUGUAUGGGUAUUGUUGGGUUCUUUAUCUUGACCAACAAUAAGGCAUGUAGACUGAAUGAUACAUGGGCCAAACCACCUAGCUUGCAGUUGAAGGACAAGCCACUCCACCUCUGGAGCCACAGUUGCUGGAUUGUCUUUUGCUUUGUUAAAUAAAUGCAAUGUACACACAAAAGCAUGGAAUUCAACACAAUGGACUUGUAAUUGAAUGUAUAUGGGCAAACACUUGAAAGCAAGCAAAUUGAAAACAAGUCUAAGCAUAGGCCUCGAACCGCAUAAAAGACUCAAAAAUAGAAGUAAUUUAGGACUGAAGAGAGGCAGGAAAAAAGAGCAAAGGACAAAGACCAAUAUGACAGUCACCUUUAUGAUUCAUCUCGCCCUCAUAACAAAGCAAAACAAAGCCUUAUUUCAUAAAUAACAUCUUGUUUGCUACUGAUAAAGCAAAUCAUAUUCUCUCUACCAACAAAUGUGGUUCCCAAAUCUCAU
rnacentral:lncRNA from 1 species